rnacentral:lncRNA from 1 species
UAUUAGGUAAUUUAUUUAAUUCUUUCUACAGUUUUUGUCUCAAUACAGCAGAUAUUCUCCUUUUAUUUUGAAAUGAUACAGCAAAUAGUCUUCCACAGAAACACCUUGAAUUUCAGAAAUCCCAGCCACCCAAAUUUCAGUUCAGAUUUAAUAAAAUGUUUCUUCUAAUCUAAAACAUAUAGAAUGAAAUUAGAAAGUUAGAAGUAGAAUGGAUAUGGGAAGUUGUUGCCGCCGGAAGGGAGGAAGUAGGGCGGCGACGGUUGAUCCAGAAGGGGGGGACGCAGCUGCCGUGCGCUGUUGCUGGUGGAAGGAAGCAGGGGCGGCGGCGCGGUGGCCUCGGCCGCUGCUGUGCUGUUCCGGUCGGGGAGAGGCUGCUGAAGGACUGCUGCUGUUGACCAAACGAGGGAGAGAGGAGGGUGAAGGUGUUGCCGGGCAGGAGAGGGUGGUGGCUGGCGGCGAGGGUCGCCGGAGAAGGCGCGGCCGCGGUUGCGGCUGGUGCGGCGAGGACAGGGACAGGGGAGGAGGAAGAGAGAUGAGGGAGGGAAGUCGACGGAGAGGGAGAGAUGAGGGAAGAGGGAGAGAGGUCGAGGAGAGGACAGGGGGAGGCAGAGCCGCCGGCGCUCGGCGGCGGCGUGCCUUCUGGUGGCAGCGGCAGGAGGCCGAGAAGAGGAGAGGGAGGAGGGCUGAAUAAUGAGUGAGAG